CACGUAGUUAGCCGUGGCUUUCUGGUUAGAUACCGUCAGGGGACGUUCAGUUACUAACGUCCUUGUUCUUCUCUAACAACAGAGUUUUACGAUCCGAAAACCUUCUUCACUCACGCGGCGUUGCUCGGUCAGACUUUCGUCCAUUGCCGAAGAUUCCCUACUGCUGCCUCCCGUAGGAGUCUGGGCCGUGUCUCAGUCCCAGUGUGGCCGAUCACCCUCUCAGGUCGGCUAUGCAUCGUGGCCUUGGUGAGCCGUUACCUCACCAACUAGCUAAUGCACCGCGGGUCCAUCCAUCAGCGACACCCGAAAGCGCCUUUCACUCUUAUGCCAUGCGGCAUAAACUGUUAUGCGGUAUUAGCACCUGUUUCCAAGUGUUAUCCCCCUCUGAUGGGUAGGUUACCCACGUGUUACUCACCCGUCCGCCACUCCUCUUUCCAAUUGAGUGCAAGCACUCGGGAGGAAAGAAGCGUUCGACUUGCAUGUAUUAGGCACGCCGCCAGCGUG
rnacentral:rRNA from 1 species